AUGAUAAAUAUUAAGUACUUCUGAACGAUUUCGUGAACCACAACGAUGGUAUUUAUGAACUAUCCAUCAGUCAUAUAAAAAUGCAGGUGCAAAGAAGGAGCUAAUGUUUUAUUACCUAUGAUACGCUCAAUUUAAAAAGAAGUGACAGAUAAUGUUGCUCUAAUACAUGGUUCGCAACUUGCAAUUCACACAACUCUUCCUUCAACUUAGUUAAUUUCCCUUUCCUCUUCUGUGCUUUCUCUUCAGCAACGACCAAUCUGUCAAUAUACUCAAUUAAUUUUUCCCGCAGCUGGUCAUGUAUAUUGUGAGAAGAAUCCACGACUGCAAUAGAAAAUCUCGACAUGCCUUUCUUAAUUUCAUCUACCAAAAGGAAGAAUCCACAGUCGCAUUACUGAUCCUACCAAACAAGGACAUCGGAAGAAUCCUCAAACCUAAACGUCGAAGCACACAACCAUAAUUACCGGUAACGAAACCGAAAUUACCUUCCAAAACGAACAUCGGUAAAAUCUCAUGCCCGGUUCUUCCCAGUACCGGAAACCAUCACGACAACAACUUGAUUGUGCCUGCAAUUCGGCCAAUUCGAUCAUUUUGACUCGCAUGACGUACUACCAAUUUAUUUCAUAUUGCUUCUAUGUUGUCUACGUGAAAGAAACCUGAAAGCAAUUGAAGCCGACGGUCUUAUAGAGUUUAACGGGUCGAAGACAG
rnacentral:lncRNA from 1 species